rnacentral:rRNA from 1 species
CUGGCGGGUGCCUAUGCAUGCAAGUCGAACGGGUAGCUUCUUCGGAGUUACUAGUGGCAAACGGGUGAGUAACACGGGGGAUCUGCCCAGUAGUGGGGAACAACUCCGAGAAAUCGGAGCUAAUACCGCAUACGGUCUGUGUCGAGGGACACGAGACUAAAGCCUUCUUCGCAAGAGGAGGGCGCUAUUGGAGGAACCUGCGGCUGAUUAGCUAGUUGGUGGGGUAAAGGCCUACCAAGGCGAUGAUCAGUAGCUGGUCUGAGAGGAUGGACAGCCACACUGGGACUGAGAUACGGCCCAGACUCCUACGGGAGGCAGCAGCAAGGAAUUUUCGUCAAUGGGGGAAACCCUGAACGAGCAACGCCGCGUGGGCGAAGAAGUCUUUCGGGAUGUAAAGCCCUUUUCCCUGUGAAGAAAGAAAGACGGUAACAGGGGAAUAAGCAUCGGCUAACUACGUGCCAGCAGCCGCGGUAAU